AUUGAACGCUAGCGGCAGGCCUAACAAAUGCAAGUCGAGAGAGCGGCGGACGGGUGAGUAAGGUAGAGGGACUGCCCGAUAGCGGGGGAUAACAACUGGAAACGGUAGCUAAUACCGCAAACUAUCGGAUAAACCACAUGGGAUUAGCUAGUAGGUGAGGUAAUGGCUCACCUAGGCUACGAUCCCUAGCGGGUCUGAGAGGAUGAUCAGCCACACUGGGACUGAGACACGGCCCAGACUCCUACGGAGGCAGCAGUGGGGAAUAUUGCACAAUGGGCGCAAGCCUGAUGCAGCCAUGCCGCGUGUAUGAAGAAGGCCCUAGGUUUGUAAAGUACUUUCAGUCGGGAGGCGUUACCGACAGAAGAAGCACCGGCUAACUCCGUGCCAGCAGCCGCGGUAAUAC
rnacentral:rRNA from 1 species